rnacentral:lncRNA from 1 species
AGACAAACUAUUAUAAACUAAUUACAUUAAGGUAUUUGUAUUCCAGAGGCAUUACAACUAACUUUUCUAUCCAAAACCAAGUAACAAGAAAAAUAUAGGUGAUUUUCUAAACAUAUUGAGAGGUUAUUACAGUUGGUCUAGGUGUUAUUCCUAACUUCAAUAAAUGAAUGGUGGUCUAACAAUAUGAACUUGUUAGCCCUGAAUUUAUGCAAUGUAAAGCUAAGAAAAGAUGAUGUAUUUUUUUUUUUGACAAUUAGCUAUACUUUUCUUUUUGAGUCUGAGCAAGCUUAGACUGUUGAAAUAUGCCAUGGUAGUGAAAUUAGUUCCAAAGAUUCUUUGAUGUUAAAUUCAGGCCACUUCAGAAGAGCGUUCAGCAUGAUUGAUGGGUUAAAUGUAUAAUUUUUGGUUCUCUUUUUUUUUCCAGGAAAGGAAGUCAGUUUUUGUCCCAAGUCACUUAUGAAAUUUCACGCAAGUAGCUAACUCUUGAAUUUAAAACAAUUGGAUUUCCCCACUUUUGCGUGAUUUCUUUUUCCCUUGCAUAUUUUGUCUCUUCAAACCAAAUUAACAAAAAAAAAGAGAAAAAAAUGAGAGGUAGGGUCUUGUUCGAGGAAUAGGGAUGAGCUAUUGUUUGCCAAGCAGAGCAAAAUUUCUUCAUCGGAAAAGCACGGUGAAGUUUCUUCAUUUUUUGGGUUUUCUGAUCUUGUUCUCCAAUUAAUUGGGUAUCCAUGAAACAAACACAGAACACACUCUCAUCUCAGGAGCAACUUAAACGAUUGAAGAACUCAUUCUCAUUUCAGACAUUUCAUUCUCUAGAAUCAUUAACCAUGGAAAAUGAUGGAUAUUGUGAAUGGAUGAAAAGUUGAAUUCAAUCAAAUACAGUUGCGAUUGUCACCUCUUGGUUAUAAAUGUUCCAUAACAG